GACGAACGCUGGCGGCGUGCUUAACACAUGCAAGUCGAACGAAGUGGCGAACGGGUGAGUAACGCGUAAUCAACCUGCCAUUCAGCGGGGGACAACAGUUGGAAACGACUGCUAAUAUCGCAUACUGAAGGAGGGGAUUGCGUCUGAUUAGCUAGUUUGAGGGGUAACGGCUCACCUAGGCGACGAUCCCUAGCUGGUCGUGAGAGAUGACCAGCCAAACGUGGACUGAGACACGGCCCAGACUCCUCCUGUAGGCAGCAGUGAGGAAUCUUCCGCAAAGGACGAAAGUCUGACGGAACAACGCCUGGUGGUGGAUGACGGCCUUCGGGUUGUAAAACCUUGUUAAUCGGGGCGCGGUACCGGAAUAGAAAGCCACGGCUAACUACGUGCCAGCAGCCGCGGUAAUUC
rnacentral:rRNA from 1 species